UUCGAAGCAACGCGAAGAACCUUAACCAGGCCUUGACAUGCAGAGAACUUUCCAGAGAUGGAUGGUGCCUUCGGGAACUCUGACACAGGUGCUGCAUGGCUGUCGUCAGCUCGUGUCGUGAGAUGUUGGGUUAAGUCCCGCAACGAGCGCAACCCUUGCCUUUACGUUGCCAGCAGUUCGGCUGGGCACUCUAAAGGGACUGCCGGUGUUAAACCGGAGGAAGGUGGGGAUGACGUCAAGUCCUCAUGGCCUUUAUGACCAGGGCUACACACGUACUACAAUGGCCGAUACAAAGGGCAGCGACACUGCGAGGUGAAGCCAAUCCCGUAAAAUCGGUCUCAGUCCGGAUUGGAGUCUGCAACUCGACUCCAUGAAGUUGGAAUCGCUAGUAAUCGUGGAUCAGCAUGCCACGGUGAAUACGUUCCCGGGCCUU
rnacentral:rRNA from 1 species